rnacentral:rRNA from 1 species
CAGGAUUAGAUACCCUGGUAGUCCACGCCCUAAACGAUGUCAACUAGGUGUUGGGGAAGGUGACUUCCUUAGUACCGCAGCUAACGCGUGAAGUUGACCGCCUGGGGAGUACGGCCGCAAGGUUAAAACUCAAAGGAAUUGACGGGGACCCGCACAAGCGGUGGAUGAUGUGGAUUAAUUCGAUGCAACGCGAAAAACCUUACCUACCCUUGACAUGCCUGGAACCCUGCUGAGAGGUGGGGGUGCCCGAAAGGGAGCCGGGACACAGGUGCUGCAUGGCUGUCGUCAGCUCGUGUCGUGAGAUGUUGGGUUAAGUCCCGCAACGAGCGCAACCCUUGUCGUUAAUUGCCACCAUUUAGUUGGGCACUUUAACGAGACUGCCGGUGACAAACCGGAGGAAGGUGGGGAUGACGUCAAGUCCUCAUGGCCCUUAUGGGUAGGGCUUCACACGUCAUACAAUGGCGCAUACAGAGGGUUGCGAAGCCGCGAGGUGAAGCCAAUCCCAGAAAGUGCGUCGUAGUCCGGAUUGCAGUCUGCAACUCGACUGCAUGAAGUCGGAAUCGCUAGUAAUCGCGGAUCAGCAUGUCGCGGUGAAUACGUUCCCGGGUCUUGUACACACCGCCCGUCACACCAUGGGAGUGGGUUUUACCAGAAGCAGGUAGCCUAACCGCAAGGAGGGCGCCUACCACGGUAGGAUUCAUGACUGGGGUGAAGUCGUAACAAGGUAGCCGUAUCGGAAGGUGCGGCUGGAUCACCUCCUUUCUG